ensembl:lncRNA
UAGACACCCUUGAUAAAGAUAAUGACUGUAUAAAUAAAUAAUUUUAAUACUGAGCUCUAUCUGCUCAACAUGUACAUUAUAUUAUUUUAUACUAAUACGAUUGAUCUGAUUAAAAUAUUUAGUUUAACAAGUAGUAUUUAUUUUCUAAAUGAUUGACCCCCCUAUAAACUAGUCAGAAGAUCAGUAUCGGGUUCUAUAUUCAUAGCAAUGACAUCAUCACACUGUAGAUUCAGGGCUGUCAAUCAUUUUGACCCCUAACCUUUUACCACAAAAAUACAUUACAAAAAAAUAUCUGAGCAAUUAUAUUAUUAUUAUUAUUAUUAUUAUUUUAAAAUAAUAUCAUUUACAAUUUAUUUUGAGCAUACAAUAGGUCAGAACUUUAUUUAUUUAUUUAAUAUAGUCAUGAUCCUCAGCAAGGGUGUCAAUAAUUUUUAACAAUUGUAUUAGUUUAAAAUAUGAUCAUUUACAAUUUAUUUUUGAGCAUAGUCAGUAUUUAUUUAUUAUUGCUAAUCUUCAGCAAGGAUGUCAAUAACUUCUGACCCCUCUGUAUAUAAUCAAGGUGAAAACUAAACAAGUAGAGCAAAAAUAAACACUUCAAAGUCAAAUAAGAAACUGGCACAUUGACAUGAAGCUACAAUAGAAGCUGACAGGUUGAAGCUACGAUAGAAGCUGACAGGUUGAAGCUGAAGCUACGAUAGAAGCUGACAGGUUGAAGCUACGAUAGAAGCUGACAGGUUGAAGCUACAAUAGAAGCUGACAGGUUGAAGCUACAAUAGAAGCUGACAGGUUGAAGCUACAAUAGAAGCUGACAGGUUGAAGCUACAAUAGAAGCUGACAGGUUGAAGCUACAAUAGAAGCUGACAGGUUGAAGCUACAAUAGAAGCUGAAGCUGACAGGUUGAAGCUACAAUAGAAGCUGACAGGUUGAAGCUACAAUAGAAGCUGACAGGUUGAAGCUACAAUAGAAGCUGACAGGUUAAAACUACAAUAGAAGCUGACAGGUUGAAGCUACAAUAGAAGCUGACAGGUUGAAGCUACAAUAGAAGCUGACAGGUUGAAGCUACGAUAGAA